ensembl:lncRNA
CAAUGCGUAACAAUGCCAGGUUAACUUAUUUCCUCCUAUAGCUAUAAGAUAAUGACCAAAAGCAUUAGAAGGAGAGAACUAGGUGAUUGGCUUCAAAUAAUGGAAGUUUCCAGACUAAAAUCUCACUGAGAUGCUUUGAGAUGAAGUGGAUAGCAGAGAGAAAGCAAAGUAACCAAAGUGCCACACAUUUCUGCAACACUGUUUGGACAAAUGUUUCAACCAAAGUUUCGUUUAAUGUAAGAAGAAUGUCAUAAGUGUGCUCAUCAGGUUUUCACAUUGAAUCUAGGAUUUAAAAUUUAAUUACUUAUGUAACAAGUGUCACCUGGCAGUUUGUUGCUCUCUGCCAGGUGAUUGGCUGAAGAGCUGUGAAAAGGUAGUGGGUGUGUGGGGUGAAGUCAGCGCUCUUCUGUGGAAAAAACCAGAGGCAAUUAAUUCACUCAGGUGCGAGUGGGUAUACUGUCGUGUGACCACGAAUUUUAAUAGAAGAAUUGAUCAAGCCCUAGAUCGACUGCGCGCAGGGAAACUGAUCAAUAUUGCCAUACAUAGCACUGAUUCCCAGUUGCGCUGAGACCCGAAUUGUUUGCAGUGUGUGCCACGAUUGCAGUGUCGCUAAGCGGGGUGUGACGGGUUGCAGUGUUAUUUCGCGCAGUUUGUAUGGUAAGUCUCAUGUGCAGCUGGGAUAUCAGCAGGAUGUGUUGUAAGUCCUGUCUGGAAACGACUGGGAAUUUGUAUGUUUAACUCAUGUAAUAAAUAAAUGAUCAAUUAUUUCUUUGCCCCGUUUACUCAUCCCUUGUCCUCGGUUACACUUAUUUUUAAUUUGUACUCACACUGACACUCACCGGCCA